CAGCCGCCGCGGUAAAACGUAGGGUGCGAGCGUUAAUCGGAAUUACUGGGCGUAAAGCGUGCGCAGGCGGUUUUGUAAGACAGGCGUGAAAUCCCCGGGCUCAACCUGGGAAUGGCGCUUGUGACUGCAAAGCUAGAGUGCGGCAGAGGGGGAUGGAAUUCCGCGUGUAGCAGUGAAAUGCGUAGAUAUGCGGAGGAACACCGAUGGCGAAGGCAAUCCCCUGGGCCUGCACUGACGCUCAUGCACGAAAGCGUGGGGAGCAAACAGGAUUAGAUACCCGCGUAGUCCCUGUCUCUUAUAC
rnacentral:rRNA from 1 species